CUUCAACUAUUCCGCCUCUUCAGUUCCCAUUCACUUUCUUUCUCUUUAUCUCCACGCCACUCUCUCACCGCGCCACUCUCUCGCCUCGACCCCCUUUCUCUUUUGUCACUUUCAUUCCUCUGUCUCUCUCUCCCUCCUCGACGAAGCCCUACUGCUCUCAGUAAGUGUCAUGACUUGAGAUGAUGACAAGUGAUAUGCGAUAGUUCAACAAGGAUGUUCUUGGUGCUCUAGAUGAUGUUGCAAUCACUGAGGAUUCGGGGUUGCACAAGAUUAAGAAACGUUAAUGGGCUAUUUUAAAACUUAUGCAGAUGGUGAUGGUGGGCGUGGACUGAUAAGCUAAGUUCGCUAUCAUGCUGCCAUUGAUUCCAGUUUGUCUUAACUCAAACCCUUUCUUGGAGCUAUCAGCUGCUAUGCUUCUACUUCAUUCGCCAAUUACAAUGUUGCAUGUGAUCAGUUUUAACAAGCCUGAUUUUGUUAUCGUGUUAUAUAACUAUUUUGCAGAGCGGGACUAUGAACGGGAGAAGCUCAGCGAGACACUUGCAAACUUUUUCAGUGGUGUUGUUGUGAUACAAGUAAACACUAGAGACAUAUUAAAGGUGUUAUUAGCAAUGUUAUUUCAUGGCGUUAAUGUGAACUAAUCACUUGAAUGGGCGAUGUCAUUAUUACAUUUUCAUAGAGAAAAAUGAAAUAUUUAGAUGUA